rnacentral:rRNA from 1 species
AUUGAACGCUGGCGGCAGGCCUAACACAUGCAAGUCGAGCGAGCGGCGGACGGGUGAGUAAUGUCUGGGAAACUGCCUGAUGGAUGGGGAUAACUACCGGAAACGGUUGCUAAUACCGUACACCAUCAGAUGUGCCCAGGUGGGAUUAGCUAGUAGGUGGGGUAAUGGCUCACCUAGGCGACGAUCCCUAGCUGGUCUGAGAGGAUGACCAGCCACACUGGAACUGAGACACGGUCCAGACUCCUACGGGAGGCAGCAGUGGGGAAUAUUGGACAAUGGGCGAAAGCCUGAUGCAGCCAUGCCGCGUGUGUGAAGAAGGCCUUCGGGUUGUAAAGUACUUUCAGCGGGGAGGCGUUACCCGCAGAAGAAGCACCGGCUAACUCCGUGCCAGCAGCCGCGGUAAUAC